CACGCCGUAAACGAUGAGUACUAGGUGUAGGGGGUAUCGACCCCCUCUGUGCCGAAGCUAACGCGAUAAGUACUCCGCCUGGGGACUACGGCCGCAAGGCUAAAACUCAAAGGAAUUGACGGGGGCCCGCACAAGCAGCGGAGCGUGUGGUUUAAUUCGAUGAUACGCGAAGAACCUCACCCAGGUUUGACAUGCAUGUGGUACGGAUGUGAAAGCUGAAGGACCCUUCGGGGAGCAUGCACAGGUGU
rnacentral:rRNA from 1 species